GGUGGUGACAUGACUUAUACAACCAGGAGGUUGGCUUAGAAGCAGCCAUCCUUUAAAGAAAGCGUAACAGCUCACUGGUUUAGUGAUUUUGCGCCGAAAAUGUAACGGGGCUAAAGCAUACUACCGAAGCUACGGGAUUAUCACUUAUGCACAGAUUUUAGCGAUUUAAUAUCGUUAGAAUUUGUGUAUUAAGUGAUAAUCGGUAGAGGAGCGUUCCGUAUUAGGUCGAAGUCAAACUGAGAAGUUUGGUGGACGAAGCGGAAGUGAGAAUGUCGGCAUGAGUAACGAAAAGAAAGGUGAGAAUCCUUUCCGCCGUAAGUCUAAGGUUUCCUGGGGAAGGUUCGUCCGCCCAGGGUUAGUCGGUCCUAAGGUGAGGUCGAAAGGCGUAGUCGAUGGACAACAGGUUAAUAUUCCUGUACCACUAAAAGUGCGUUAUCAGCGAUGGGGUGACGCAGUAGGAUAGGUCAGCCACUUAUUGGAUUGUGGUUUAAGCAUGUAGGAGGAAGAGAUUGGUAAAUCCGUUUCUUCUUAACUCUGAGGUGUGAGUACGACUUACGUAUGUAGGGAAGUGAUUGAUUCCACGCUGACAAGAAAAACCUCUAGUGAGAUUUAUGGGUAUCCGUACUAAAACCGACACAGGUAGGUAGGUAGAGAAUACUAAGGCGCGCGAGAUAACCCUCGUUAAGGAACUCGGCAAAUUAGCUUCGUAACUUCGGAAGAAGAAGUGCCCUGGUAAUGUGAAGGUCCUUGCGAUUCGAGCAUGAAAGGGUUGCAGUGAAAGGGCUCAAGCGACUGUUUACCAAAAACACAGGUCCCUGCUAAACCGUAAGGUGAUGUAUAGGGGCUGACGCCUGCCCAGUGCUGGAAGGUUAAUAGGAGGAGUUAAACUUCGGUUGAAGCUCCGAAUUGAAGCCCCAGUGAACGGCGGCCGUAACUAUAACGGUCCUAAGGUAGCGAAAUUCCUUGUCGGGUAAGUUCCGACCCGCACGAAAGGCGUAAUGAUCUGGGUACUGUCUCGGAGAGAGACUCGGCGAAAUAGAAAUGUCUGUGAAGAUGCGGACUACUUACACCUGGACAGAAAGACCCUAUGAAGCUUUACUAUAACUUGGCAUUGGGUUCGGGCUUGAUUUGCGCAGGAUAAGUGGGAGGCUAUGAUUUUUUCCUUCCGGGGAAAAAGGAGCCAAUGGUGAGAUACCACUCUAAUCAAGCUAGACCCCUAACUUUAAACCAUAAACAGGUUAGAGAACAGUGUCAGGCGGGUAGUUUUUCUGGGGCGGAAGCCUCCUAAAAGGUAACGGAGGCGUACAAAGGUUUCCUCAGGCUGGACGGAAAUCAGCCGUAGAGUGUAAAGGCAGAAGGAAGCUUGACUGCGAGACCAACAAGUCGAGCAGGGACGAAAGUCGGUCUUAGUGAUCCGACGGUUCCGCGUGGAAGGGCCGUCGCUCAACGGAUAAAAGUUACUCUAGGGAUAACAGGCUAAUCUCCCUCAAGAGUUCACAUCGACAGGGAGGUUUGGCACCUCGAUGUCGGCUUAUCGCAACCUGGGGCGGAAGGGCGUCCCAAGGGUUGGGCUGUUCGCCCAUGAAAGCGGUACAUGAGCUGGGUUCAGAACGUCGUGAGACAGUUUGGUCCAUAUCCGGUGUAAGCGUUAGAGUAUUGAAGAGAGCCUUCCUUUGUACGAGAGGACCGGGAAGGAUGCACCUCUGGUGUACCAGUUCUUUAAAAAGGAAACGCUGGGUAGCCAUGUGUGGUUUGGAUAACCGCUGAAAGCAUCUAAGUGGGAAGCCGUCUCUAAGAUGAGUACUCUCUUAUUAAGACUACAGCAAGACUAGCUGGUUGAUAGGUAUCAAGUGUAAGUUGUGUAAGCAAUGUAGCUGAGAUAUACUAACAAGUCGAAUGAGUUUGACUUU
rnacentral:rRNA from 1 species